rnacentral:rRNA from 1 species
GACGAACCGUGCGAACGUUGUUCGGAAUCACUGGGCUUAAAGGGCGCGUAGGCGGCUUGCCAAGUCAGUGGUGAAAUCCCGCAGCUUAACUGCGGAAGUGCCUUUGAUACUGGCGAGCUCGAGGGAGGUAGGGGUAUGUGGAACUUCUGGUGGAGCGGUGAAAUGCGUUGAUAUCAGAAGGAACGCCGGUGGCGAAAGCGACGUACUGGACCUCUUCUGACGCUGAGGCGCGAAAGCUAGGGGAGCAAACGGG